GAAUUUUAAAGGCUGUCAUUACAAAGCUGGUGUUUGAAGAGAAGAACAGCUGGUUCUGGAGGACUCCUCUUCCAGAGCAAGAACAAGGAUUUCUUUCCUUUGCCUGGAGAAGAUGCUUUCUUUCCAUGAUGACAGCCUGAAGCUACAUAGCUGUAAGAAAGGCUGGGUUUCAACUCUUCCACUUACCAAUGACAAGAGGAAAGGUUUGUGAUUUGAUGGUGUUUUCUGAUGUUACCAUGAGAUGUCCUGUGCUCCAGCUACAUGAAGACAUAAAUCAGUGCAGUAAUUGAAGAUCAGUUACUAAAGAAGUUGGUGCUGAGGCUUUGAGGGUGCUGAUCUACACAACAUGUUCUUUGAAGAUUUUUCUGCAGAAUAAAUGCAGGUCUCCUGAACUGAAUGUCUACAGCAUGGUGUGUAGCUGUCCCAGGAAGCAGCUAUUUGUUCAAAUCCUUAU